ACAAUGGACUAUGGGAUGAAGGAGAACCCCAUUAAAAAUGUCUGCUUUUACAAGAAGAAGGACCCAACCGAAGCUAUCCGAAUCUCCAGAGACCAGCAGGUGUUAUAUCUCGGGCCCAAGAACUUUUCACAGCAUCAGAACAGAAUAUACUAUAAGAAGGAGACUGAUAAAUAGACUAUGGAUGCCAUAAAGGAUGACUUGCACAGAAACUUCCACAAACCAUAGAACUGAAAGAUUACCAACACAAGGUGGUCGGGAACGUUGUCUGUCUCCUGAACAGGAAACUGAAAUCAUGAACAUGGUCCUAGAAAAUAACGCCAUAACAUUACGGCAAAUACAAAGAAAAAUUAUAAGAAUGUAACUGUCAGUAUUCAGUCAAUUCUUCUGUUGUUUUGUAUGUAGACCAUUAUAUGUGCAACUUUGUUUUG